UUUCAAAACAAUGAACUCUGUAGAUAAAUUAUUAUCGCCGAGGGAAAUUGCAUAAAUUUUUACUAGACCCUUGUGGAGAAUUUUUCCUCCUUAUCUUAUCUCGCCAUUGUUCAAGUCGAAACUAAAGAGAUCUCGACUCCUAAAACGUUAGGGCUUCAGCCCGGACCAGAAAGAAAUUUGACCCAAGAGUACGUGAUAAAAACAAGAAUUUCAAGAUGAUGGGAUAAGUGGUUAUAUCCAUAUACAAGCUGAGGUCUACUUCCUAAAAGAGAUUGCUGUGUACAAGAAAACAUAAUAGAAGCCAAACAACUUCCUCUAAAUAGAUUUUUCAUUUACACCGAGCUAUUUUCAAAACACUUAGCCUUGCGAAGCAAGAAAGUGGAAAUUCCUUCAAAAUCGGCUGAAUCAAGAGCAUACAAACUGUCUGAAGAGAGUAUUUUUAAAUAACAAGGGCGGAAGUGUUUCUCAUA